GGACACGUGGUAUCCUGUCUGAAUAUGGGGGGACCAUCCUCCAAGGCUAAAUACUCCUGACUGACCGAUAGUGAACCAGUACCGUGAGGGAAAGGCGAAAAGAACCCCGGCGAGGGGAGUGAAAAAGAACCUGAAACCGUGUACGUACAAGCAGUGGGAGCACGCUUAGGCGUGUGACUGCGUACCUUUUGUAUAAUGGGUCAGCGACUUAUAUUCUGUAGCAAGGUUAACCGAAUAGGGGAGCCGAAGGGAAACCGAGUCUUAACUGGGCGUUAAGUUGCAGGGUAUAGACCCGAAACCCGGUGAUCUAGCCAUGGGCAGGUUGAAGGUUGGGUAACACUAACUGGAGGACCGAACCGACUAAUGUUGAAAAAUUAGCGGAUGACUUGUGGCUGGGGGUGAAAGGCCAAUCAAACCGGGAGAUAGCUGGUUCUCCCCGAAAGCUAUUUAGGUAGCGCCUCGUGAAUUCAUCUCCGGGGGUAGAGCACUGUUUCGGCAAGGGGGUCAUCCCGACUUACCAACCCGAUGCAAACUGCGAAUACCGGAGAAUGUUAUCACGGGAGACACACGGCGGGUGCUAACGUCCGUCGUGAAGAGGGAAACAACCCAGACCGCCAGCUAAGGUCCCAAAGUCAUGGUUAAGUGGGAAACGAUGUGGGAAGGCCCAGACAGCCAGGAUGUUGGCUUAGAAGCAGCCAUCAUUUAAAGAAAGCGUAAUAGCUCACUGGUCGAGUCGGCCUGCGCGGAAGAUGUAACGGGGCUAAACCAUG
rnacentral:rRNA from 1 species